ensembl:lncRNA
UGUCCCACUCUGAUUGGUUCAUACCAGAUAACAUUGUGCCUUAUUUGGCCGUUUCCACAUUCUUUUCUCAUCCUUCUUCUUCUCCUGUUUUCUCUGCAUCAAGGUCAGCACGAUAGCACUAUCUCUCUAUGUUUAGGGAGAGGCCUGUCCCGUACAUCCCGUGCCCCCGCAAGACGCCUACUACAACAUCUCCCCCUCCCUAAGCUAAAUACUACUUACACACACACCUAACCCGUACAUCGCGAAGCAGCGCAAAACGCCUAAUCCUAAAUAUAUUUCAGCACACUAUUCCUACUAUUUUCUACUACAGUUCUUAAGCAAUCAUCAGAGCAACAGGGAAUUCUUUUCCGUGCUCGGCCAAGCCUUGCCCCAUUACAGCACGAACGCAACAACCUAAACCCCUCUAUAAUUUUUCACGCAAUCUAUGAUACUCAAUGUGAUAGUCAAAAGUCUUGUCCAUCAUUCGUUGAAGGCAGUUCUGCAAGCAUCCUACAAAGCAUGGAAGACAGAUUAGAAUACACACAAAGAUUGCAAAUCCUACUGCGAGAGCUUUAAGCAAUUGCUUUAACCAUGAACCCGUUCCCCCAAACAGUCCGUCCAGCCAGCUUCCAAAGGGAUCACGCUCUUCUUUAAUUUUCUGCAUAUGUUCUUGUGUCCAUUGUAGUUGUUUGUGACACUCUGUAAUCGCCAUGGACACCAUAAAUAUCAGCAACAUCGGAAGUGUCAGCGUUGCAGGUGUAGUGCUCCUCUUGACGAGUGGUUCUUAAUCCCAUCGUCUGUCCCUCAGUUGUUCUGGAGUUGGCUUCGGUCUGCCAACGAAGAAUUUCUGUAGAAAACUCGCACCUAGACUCAGUUUUUGCAGAUAUGCUACUUAUAUCUGGUAUUACUUUUCGCGAUGGUACCCACAGAAUUUCCCAGAUUCAUGAUAUUUAACUGCUGCAUACCCGACCACGGAUACCCUUUAGCAAGCCCUUCCUGUGAUCAGGAGGCCCUGACUGGCCUCCCCCACAGGGGCAUUGUGCUCUAACAUGGCCAUACUGGCCGUAUCGGAAACACAGCCCUUGCUGCUGCAGCGAUCUUUGCUGUCGCAGGCCAACAGCUACGACAAUAGCUGUGACUAGCCUUUCAUUAGUUAAAUGAGCCACCUUGAGCUUAUCUAAGACAUACUGAAUAACUUCUCCCGAGGUAUUAAGCGUACUUCGGCCGGCUCCCGAGGUAUUAAGCGUACUUCGGCCGGCUCGCAGCAAUGCCUUAACACUGUCAUGCGAUUUCUGCUGCAAGCAGUCAAUGAUCACUGGCCCUUGGGCCGGUACCAGGAGAUCAGACCCCUCUGCAGCAGCUAAAAGCCUGUCUGUAAAGCUUUGAAAGGAUUCAUUCGGUCCCUGGGUAAUAUCUGUGCACGGAGUAGGUGGUUCGGCCUUAUGCACAAGUUUAUUAAACGCUUCCACCACUGCAUCUGUGGCUGCUAUUAGCUCCCCUGGCCUUAGUCUCGCUAGCUGGCCCUGGGGCGAAGCCACUCCCACGGCCUUCCCUGAAAGCCGCUGUAUUCCGGUCCCAUGCAGGGAGCGGCGCGGGCCGACCCCUGUCGCCCCGGCACGGCCCCCCAACUUGGCCACCCAGUCCGUCUCCCAUAACGUAUAUUGAACCAGCCUGAGCACCGUACGCAUUAAGUUUGUGAUGUCACGGGGGAAGAGAGGCCCCAGUGCAGCCAAAGUUUGUAGUGCAUUUAAUGUCAGAGGCGAUUUCAAGCCUCUUUUAUCCAUGAAUUCCACCAGGCGCGUAACACCCCCGGGGUCAGGCGGCACCCAUUCGGGACCACGAUCACUCACAAUCACCCGGAAUGCCUCUGGAACUAUACCCUUUCCCAAAGCCUCCGAUCUAAUCCCAUUCCAGUCCGUCAUUUGAUCCCUCCCCCUGCACUCAAAGCCAGUCCCUUCUUUCUCUUCUACACUAUCACUCGCACUACCGCCCCUGGGAGUGACCAGAGACAGUAGGCUAUGCCCCCUGUCCGCAUUGGACGGACCUUUUGUCUGGUCCCUCCCCAUGUGGGCACUAAGUUGAUCCUGCCCGUGUAGAUCACAGCUUCCUCCGCCCCCUUGAGUCAGGUAACACUGACGUAAUUCUGAUAAAGGAUACAACGUUCCGCCUGAGGGGUGUGGAUACGGGGGAGGGGGACGAGACAACGAACUUUCACUCUCUUGUUGUUUGUCUUCUUUUGAACUGAGCGCGGUCGGCUCAGCCGGCGCCAUCCCGCCAACGGUCAUUGGCGGCUCCGUCUCCUCUCGGCCCCUGCAAGAAACUGCUCCCGAACCCCCAUCGGACCCGACCGGGUCCUGUGUCUCACCUCCUCCGCUGAGACCCAAAAGGUAUCGAGCCUCCACCAAUAACUUUCCCUCAACUCUGGCCGCUUUAAGGGCUCCUAAUAUCAGUCCCCACGUUUUAAGUUCCGUAGCCUUCUGACUGGCCAUGGCGCGCUGGCAUAGCACCGAGGUGAGCAAGUCCCACCUACUCGAAUCCAAAACGUAGCGGGGAGAGUCCAGCUCCCCCAGCUCAUUUAACAGCGACAAAACUGCCGCGAUCUCCUUCCGGGAAGGAGCAGAUUUUCCACAGUAGUCCUUACAAAACUGCACAAGUACCUUAAUGACUUGGUCCAUUGUUACGCAUGCGACCUGCCGCCACCUCGCAGGCUCUUAACCGCAGUACGUCUUCCGUGCGCGACCUGCCGCCACCUCACAGGCUCUUCUCCGCGUCACGGGCACGCCGGGCAGCCACCCUCAGCAGACAGAUCACGUCGGGGUCACCACUUGUUGCGUGUAGUCUCCGUUCGCUCGUCCGGUGUUCGUCCUCUGUCCACAUGUAGGGCUUACUGCUGGGCGAAACCGACCCUUUACCAGGUCGGGGCCAGAUGCUCACCCAGACCCCAGGAGUAAGUGAGGCAAAUGGCGUUUAUUCACUACUAAACACAGCUUAUAUACAUUUUACCUAGAUAACCGUGCUGUCAUGUCCCACUCUGAUUAGUUCACACCAGAUAACAUUGUGCCUUAUUUGGCCGUUUC